CUCAACUGUAAGCUUCAGAAAGCAUUGAGAAGAAAAAGCAUUAACCUGGACUCAAAUGUCUCUGCAACAUGAGAAAUUUCUGCAGAAUUUUCAAAACAGACUGACAUACAUAGUUUCUCCCCAGUGUGAAUUCUUUCAUGUAUUUGAUGAUAGUCAUGUAUACCAAAAGCUUUCCCACAUUGCUUACAUAUAUAUGGUUUCUCCCAGGUGUAAGUACUUCUAUGUCUACAAAAUGAAUAGUAGCAAAUCCUUUCCCACACUGCUUACAUAUAUAGGGUUGCUCCCUAGUGUGAAUUCUUUCAUGCAUUUGACCUUGUGUCUGUUGAAUGCUUUUCCACAUUGCUUACAUUCAUAGGGUUACUCUCCAAUGUGAGUUCUUUUAUGUCUACAAAAUGAGGAGUUAGCAACAAAUCCUUUCCCACACUGUUUACUCACAUAGGAUUUCUCACCAGUGUGACUUGUUUCAUGUAUCUGAUAUUGGCUGUGUCUGCUGAAUGCUUUCCCACAUUGCUUACAUACAUAGGGUUUCUCACUAGUGUGAAUUUUUUUCAUGUCUUUGACAAUUUAGCUGUGUGUACUGAAUGCUUUUCCCACAUUACUUACAUAUAUAGGGUUUCUCACUAGUGUGAGUUCUUUCAUGUAUUUGUCAGUGACUGCGUAUACUUAAUGGUUUCUCACAUUGCUUACAUAAGAGUUUCUUCUCCGUGUGAAUUCUUUCAUUUCUGUGAGUAAUUUCAACCUUUUUGAACUUCAAUUUCUACAGGGUCAAAUGGAGCUAAUACUGAUUGUAGGAACUGUAUGGCAGAGGAGGACCUGAAAUGGAAAGAAACAUUUCUGAGGAUGAAUUAGAAUCAAAUACACUGUUAGAAAUGACAAAACCUGAAAUAUUAAAAACACAAGACAAUUCCAAUAUCCAAAUUUAAUCAAGGUAAACUGAGAGUAGUUCCAGAAAACAAAUAAUAUAGUUUGCUAGAAUGGCAACAAUAAUGGAAUUAUGUUUGACUUUAAAAUUGACACCUGGGGCCAUGGAUGUGGCUCACUGGUACAGGUUUUGCCUAGUAUGUGUGAGGCCCCAGGUUCAAUUCUCAGCACCACAAAAACAAAUGAAAAAACCUACACUUACCAGGGUGAUUAGACACCUGUAAUCCUAGCACUCAGGAGGCUGAGGCAGGAGGAUUGACAGGAGUUCAAGGACUAGUGAGUUCCAUGCCAGCCUGAAGUACAUAGGGAGACCUGUUUUAAAACAAAUCCCUACACUUAUUAGCUGUGUACUGUAGGACAAACUAUAUAUGAUUUCCUCCAGUCUGUUUCUGUACUGCAGGAUGUUGUGAACAUUUUUUUUUUGGUACCAGGGAUUGAACUUGGGACCUUGCGCUUGAGUGGCAGAACCACUAAACUAAAUCCCCAGACCUCUUGUGAACAUUUGACAAUGACUUACUGUUUAUUAGGGCCAGAUCUGUACUAUUUUGUACUAUUUUUGUAUCCCUAUUUUGUGUUUUGUAUCUGUAUUAUUUUGUAUAGGGAUACAAAAAUGAAGGCAUUGGCCUUG
rnacentral:lncRNA from 1 species